GACGAACGCUGGCGGCGUGCCUAAUACAUGCAAGUAGAACGCUGAAGAGAGGAGCUUGCUCUUCUUGGAUGAGUUGCGAACGGGUGAGUAACGCGUAGGUAACCUGCCUUGUAGCGGGGGAUAACUAUUGGAAACGAUAGCUAAUACCGCAUAACAAUGGAUGACACAUGUCAUUUAUUUGAAAGGGGCAAUUGCUCCACUACAAGAUGGACCUGCGUUGUAUUAGCUAGUAGGUGAGGUAAUGGCUCACCUAGGCGACGAUAUAUAGCCGACCUGAGAGGGUGAUCGGCCACACUGGGACUGAGACACGGCCCAGACUCCUACGGGAGGCAGCAGUAGGGAAUCUUCGGCAAUGGGGGCAACCCUGACCGAGCAACGCCGCGUGAGUGAAGAAGGUUUUCGGAUCGUAAAGCUCUGUUGUAAGUCAAGAACGGGUGUGAGAGUGGAAAGUUCACACUGUGACGGUAGCUUACCAGAAAGGGACGGCUAACUUCGUG
rnacentral:rRNA from 1 species